AGAGCUCGGCGUUGGGUUGUCGUGAAGAGGUCCAAGGUGACAGUGGAUGAUGGAGGAGUGGAAGAAUAUUUUGGGGAUGUUCGUAAGUGACCUUUGGGGAAGAAGAGGGUCUUUUUCAUGAGAGAAAGAUCCAAAAACCUUUAAUUCGUCUCUUUCGUUGUCUUUCUUUUUUUUAUUUUUUCUAACAGACCAAAAGAGAGUCC
rnacentral:lncRNA from 1 species